rnacentral:rRNA from 1 species
AAUGAACGCUGGCGGCAGGCCUAACACAUGCAAGUCGAACGGAUCCUUCGGGAUUAGUGGCGGACGGGUGAGUAACGCGUGGGAAACAUACCCUUUGGUACGGAAUAGCCUCGGGAAACUGGGAGUAAUACCGUAUGUGGUCGAGAGACGAAAGAUUUAUCGCCAAAGGAUUGGCCCGCGUUGGAUUAGGUAGUUGGUGGGGUAAUGGCCUACCAAGCCGACGAUCCAUAGCUGGUUUGAGAGGAUGAUCAGCCACACUGGGACUGAGACACGGCCCAGACUCCUACGGGAGGCAGCAGUGGGGAAUCUUAGACAAUGGGGGAAACCCUGAUCUAGCCAUGCCGCGUGAUCGAUGAAGGCCUUAGGGUUGUAAAGAUCUUUCAGGUGGGAAGAUAAUGACUGUACCACCAGAAGAAGCCCCGGCUAACUCCGUGCCAGCCGCCGCAGUAAACA